rnacentral:rRNA from 1 species
AUACGUAGGGAGCGAGCGUUGUCCGGAAUUACUGGGUGUAAAGGGAGCGUAGGCGGGACUGCAAGUCAGAUGUGAAAUACCGGGGCUUAACCCCGGAGCUGCAUUUGAAACUGUGGUUCUUGAGUGAAGUAGAGGCAAGCGGAAUUCCUGGUGUAGCGGUGAAAUGCGUAGAUAUCAGGAGGAACACCGGUGGCGAAGGCGGCUUGCUGGGCUUUUACUGACGCUGAGGCUCGAAAGCGUGGGUAGCAAGCAGGAUUAGAUACCCUGGUAGUCCACGCUGUAAACGAUGAUUACUAGGUGUGGGGGGACUGACCCCUUCCGUGCCGCAGUUAACACAAUAAGUAAUCCACCUGGGGAGUACGUUCGCAAGAAUGAAACUUAAAGGAAUUGACGGGG